AGAGUUUGAUCCUGGCUCAGGACGAACGCUGGCGGCGUGCCUAAUACAUGCAAGUCGAGCGAAUCUUUGGGAGCUUGCUCCUAAAGGUUAGCGGCGGACGGGUGAGUAACACGUGGGCAACCUGCCUAUAAGACUGGGAUAACUUCGGGAAACCGGAGCUAAUACCGGAUCAUUCUUUUCUACACAUGUAGAAAAGCUGAAAGAUGGUUUACGCUGUCACUUAUAGAUGGGCCCGCGGCGCAUUAGCUAGUUGGUGAGGUAACGGCUCACCAAGGCCACGAUGCGUAGCCGACCUGAGAGGGUGAUCGGCCACACUGGGACUGAGACACGGCCCAGACUCCUACGGGAGGCAGCAGAAGGG
rnacentral:rRNA from 1 species